UGAAAAGGCCCAGGUGCUUCUCCAAAC
rnacentral:piRNA from 1 species